GGCAACAGCCAGAGGAGCGAGAAUGAAGCUACUUCCGCCAGUACUGAUACCACUAACUGCGGGCCAUCUAGUGGCAGGUUUCGGAUACUGCAGUGUUGAUGCCACAUGGCACCCAAGGGCAGAUUACUACGUUUUUGGCUGUAUUAAUUUAUUUACUUUUUUCAUUUUAUUAACAUGUUUUUUUUCCUGCGUCUUCACGGGAGAUUGUCAGGUUUCAGUCCUCCUGAAACUGGAUCCAGUUAGCUCAUGCAAUUAGUGAUAUUUUUGGACAGGAUGUAAAACUAAUCUGGGAAGUUUUGGCCGCCCUGGUAAUUAGAAACGACCUGGCACUUAUCACAAGACUAGCUCUUCGCCCUGAGGAUUUAACCAAAUCCAGGUACAGUAACUGCAUUCUGUGUUCCUGCAUUGCCCUUGCAAUUC